rnacentral:pre_miRNA from 1 species
UAUCACAGCAAUCACAAUGAGAAGAAUACAUCUAGAUACUCUUUUCAUUGGUUUCUGUGAAAUC